rnacentral:rRNA from 1 species
UACGUAGGGGGCAAGCGUUAUCCGGAUUUACUGGGUGUAAAGGGAGCGUAGACGGCCAGACAAGUCUGAAGUGAAAAUCCAGCGCUUAACGUUGGAAGUGCUUUGGAAACUGCCGGGCUAGAGUGCAGGAGGGGCAGGCGGAAUUCCUAGUGUAGCGGUGAAAUGCGCAGAUAUUAGGAGGAACACCAGUGGCGAAGGCGGCCUGCUGGACUGCAACUGACGUUGAGGCUCGAAGGCGUGGGGAGCAAACAGG